AGCGCCACCGGGUCGACGCCCCUGGUGACCACCAGAUAGUCCCGCAUGACGAUCGAGUGCUUGUUCUC
rnacentral:sRNA from 1 species